UACGUAGGGUGCAAGCGUUGUCCGGAAUUAUUGGGCGUAAAGAGCUUGUAGGCGGUUUGUCGCGUCUGCUGUGAAAUUUCGGGGCUCAACCCCGAACUUGCAGUGGGUACGGGCAGACUAGAGUGUGGUAGGGGAGACUGGAAUUCCUGGUGUAGCGGUGAAAUGCGCAGAUAUCAGGAGGAACACCGAUGGCGAAGGCAGGUCUCUGGGCCAUAACUGACGCUGAGAAGCGAAAAGCGUGGGGGAGCAAACAGG
rnacentral:rRNA from 1 species